rnacentral:rRNA from 1 species
AGCGUUUGAUCCAGGUUCAGAACGAACGCUGGCGGCAGGCUUAAUACAUGCAAGUCGAACGGCUGUAGCAAUACAGCAGUGGCAGACGGGUGAGUAACACGUGGGAACCUACCUAGGGGUACGGAAUAACUCAGGGAAACUUGUGCUAAUACCGUAUACGACCUCAGGGUGAAAGAUUUAUCGCCCCUAGAUGGGCCCGCGCUGGAUUAGCUAGUUGGUGGGGUAAAAGCCUACCAAGGCGACGAUCCAUAGCUGGUCUGAGAGGAUGGUCAGCCACACUGGGACUGAGACACGGCCCAGACUCCUACGGGAGGCAGCAGUAGGGAAUCUUGGACAAUGGGCGAAAGCCUGAUCCAGCCAUGCCGCGUGAGUGAUGAAGGCCUUAGGGUUGUAAAGCUCUUUCGCCAGGGAAGAUAAUGACGGUACCUGGAUAAGAAGCCCCGGCUAACUUCGUGCCAGCAGCCGCGGUAAUACGAAGGGGGCUAGCGNUUGUCGGAAUUACUGGGCGUAAAGCGCACGUAGGCGGCAUUCCAAGUUGGAGGUGAAAUCCCCGGGCUUACC